ensembl:lncRNA
UGCAAUAAAAUAAUCAAUUUUCUAACAGACCACUGCAACGCACUUUUUCCGUGCUGCUGUACAUGCCCCAGCUGCACGGGAUUACAACUCCUGCCUGCGUGCCAUGAUAUAUUACGCGACAACUUCUUAAUGUGUGCGUUUUCUCACAAAUCACGUGCACAAUUCUUUUUGCUCGUACCCGUUAAACCUGCUGAAAGGGAAAUCAGCAUGAACUCGCCUGUGUCACACUGUCUCCCCUUAGCGGACUGGCAAACCGCCCAGACAGCUGCUGCUUGCGUGCCACCACUGUUUGGGUAGAUAUGAAUCUGUGCUCUGGAGAAAACUGGGAUGAUUCACCAGUGAUUGUGUGUGUGUGUGUGUGUGUGUGCGCGUGCGUGUGUGCGUGUCAGUUAUAAGCUGAGGCCUUUUUACUGAAGUCUGUCUGCUCUCUCUACCUCAUUCUCACUUUUCAGCGGAACUACUUUUAAUAAAAUCGGGAGGGGUUAGAGGGUGAGGGCUGAUUCCUCUAUGAAAGAUUGCAUCAGUAGUAAUAAAAUGUGGAAUUCCACUUGUUUGUUAAAUAAAGGGACAGUGACAGAAAUCCUGCAUCCUUUUUUUUCUUCUCUGUGAUCAACAGCCCUGGCUUCGCUGCAUUAAAUCGAAUACAUUGAAAUAAGAGAGGCAGUAAGGCAGAAAGGUGCUAGAUGUGAGCCCUUAACAAAGGAUGCAAUGGAUAUUUUGAACCUCAUUUCUACAACCUCAUUGGCAUUAAAGUUCCCAUAUAAAAGUGGCAAUUUAUACAGAGGAAAGCCACAUGUGUAUCUCUGGCAACUUUAUUGAUUCCGGGCGCCCAAUAAAGAUGACAUUUGCUUGCUUUAAUAGAUCUUGUAAUUUGUCAAGCUAAGCCAAAAUGUAAUUUAUUCUCAGCAAUGGCAGAACCUCAGAAAGGUUAUGUAAGGGGCAUGUAAAAUGGAACCACAGUCACAGAAGAAAUAAGAAAUAACGAAGGAAAUAAGACAGAAAAAAAACAUUUUACAGAAUGAAACAUUGCUGCGCACAUUGUUUUACCUCCUGUCUUUCUCUCAAACACGCGUACACACAGGCAGAGGAACAUGCACUCUCUUUAUUCUAUUUAAAAGAAAAGCCUUGGUGUUUGAAAAGCUUUGGUGUCUUGUUUGAGCUGAAUAAAAGCGCAGACCUCCCUUUGAGGCAGCGCAUGUCAAACAGGGAGCAUUGAGCCAUCAAGCAAGGCGGUCAGAAGCAUUGUUGAGAAAUUGCACAUGGGGGUCCUGUGAUUUGGUCUUGGUUUAACGAGGGGGGAAAGGGAGGGGAGGAGCGAUUGUUUGGAUUUCCAAAGCUCUAGAAGACACAUCCAUACGUCCGGGGACGGAUUCCCCGGCCAUUUGCAAACAAUUGGUUGCUCAUCCAGGAGAUAAUGCCCACUUCCGCAAUUCCGUUCUGUCAUCCCUUCAAGUUUCGUUCCUCCUUCCUCUCCCGUCCGCACACUCCCAUCUCCGAGCCUUCUCGCCCUCCCUUCCAUUGU